rnacentral:rRNA from 1 species
CCUACGGGAGGGCAGCAGUGGGGGAAGUUUUGGUACAAUGGGCGGCAAGCCUGAUCCAGCAAUGCCGCGUGAGUGAAGAAGGCCUUCGGGUUGUAAAGCUCUUUUGUCAGGGAAGAAACGGUCUACUCUAAUACAGUGGGCUAAUGACGGUACCUGAAGAAUAAGCACCGGCUAACUACGUGCCAGCAGCCGCGGUAAUACGUAGGGUGCAAGCGUUAAUCGGAAUUACUGGGCGUAAAGCGUGCGCAGGCGGUUAUAUAAGUCAGAUGUGAAAUCCCCGGGCUCAACCUGGGAACUGCAUUUGAGACUGUAUGGCUAGAGUGUGUCAGAGGGGGGUAGAAUUCCACGUGUAGCAGUGAAAUGCGUAGAUAUGUGGAGGAAUACCGAUGGCGAAGGCAGCCCCCUGGGAUAACACUGACGCUCAUGCACGAAAGCGUGGGGAGCAAACAGGAUUAGAUACCCUGGUAGUCCACGCCCUAAACGAUGUCUACUAGUUGUCGGGACUUAAUUGUCUUGGUAAACGCNGCGUACGCGUGAGUAGACCGCCGUCGGGUAAGGUACGGUACGUUCGAAGUAAGUUAAACGUUAACGUAAGUUAGAGUUAGACGGCGNGAGACGNGACGACGGACGACGACGAGGAGGAGG